rnacentral:rRNA from 1 species
ACGGAAGGCAGCAGUGGGGAAUAUUGCACAAUGGGCGCAAGCCUGAUGCAGCGAUGCCGCGUGAGGGAAGAAGGUUUUCGGAUUGUAAACCUCUGUCAACAGGGACGAUAAUGACUGUACCUGUGAAGGAAGCUCCGGCUAACUACGUGCCAGCAGCCGCGGUAAUACGUAGGGAGCAAGCGUUAUCCGGAAUUACUGGGUGUAAAGGGAGUGUAGGCGGGACUGUAAGUCAGAUGUGAAAUAUGCCGGCUCAACUGGCAGACUGCAUUUGAAACUGCGGUUCUUGAGUGAAGUAGAGGUAAGCGGAAUUCCUAGUGUAGCGGUGAAAUGCGUAGAUAUUACAUAGAACACCGAUCGCGAAGGCAGCUGGCGAGGACGGCACUGACGCUGAGGCACGAAGGCGUGGGGAUCAAACAGGAUUAGAUACCCUGGUA